GGGGGCGAACCAGGAUCGACCGGAUUACUGAGGUGUGAGGUGGCGUGUCGAGGUUGGUCAGCAGGCCUCGUAAAAAGCGGACCAAACUUUAUCUGCCGAGAGGACUCCCUCUCUCCGUAUGGCUGCCUAAUUGAGGUAGAAACGGCUUCGCGGCGGGCCUUCUCCCGCUAGUUCCGCCCGAAGACGACAAUGCGGGAUCGCUCAAGCCUAACCGCCCGUUGCGGCUUGAGCUAAACUCAUGAUGGGAUAAGCCAAAAGGUACCUUGUCGCUCGGGGACCCCAGGCCGACAAUCAAACGAACGGCUACACACGUAGAUGCCCACAUUAAUGGAUCUCGGGACGCGGGUGCAAUUCCCGCCGCCUCCACUU
rnacentral:tmRNA from 1 species